AUACAUUGUAUUAGGUUGUCAUUGGCCACCAUGAAUUUUUGAAUCUAAUCUGGUAGAGACAUUCCAGGAAUUGCACAAUGCAAGAAGCCCGUUUCAAUCUGAUUAUUGCUCUUCACAAUUUUGGAGGCUGUCACUGGAGUAAUGGAUGCUCAUCUUCAAUAUUUUCGACAGGGAUAUGAACUACUACAUCAGUUGGAGCCCUUCAUUGUUGAGGUUUUCCCACUAUCUCUUUACUCAUUCUGUUUUUAACUUGAGUUGAAGAUGGUAAACUGCUAGAACUAGAAUCGAAGAGUAGUGUCUAUUGAUGAAUUACAAGAUAGAGAUGAUAUUAGAGAGACAUCUCAACUCUCCCAAUAUGCUAAAAGAUAGAGGAGUAGUGUCAUAUGUACAAAAAAGCAAGGGAAAGUCACAAUGAGGAGCAGGUUUCUCUAUUUGAAAGAAUGAUAGAGUACAAGCAACUUGUCCAUCAAGAAAGUAAGUUCUGGUGUUCAUCGAAAUCUUGGUGUACAUAUAUCCAAAGUAAGUAGUUGAGGUUGCUUGUUUAAGUUUUUGCAUCAGUAUCAUGGCUGCUAGACACCAUGUCUGGUUGUUGCUUUUAAGAUCACUGACACUUGAUGUGAAAGUAUGGGAUUCCUCAGUUUUAAGCAUGUUUCAAUCACUUGGCAAUCUCUUUGCAAACUCAGUUUGGGAGGAGUUAUUGCAUUCGAAAACUUCAACAGAUGAUACUCUUGAUGGAUCAUCCAAGGGCACCAGAACCAAAUUAUUUCAUGCAAGAAAACCUGCAUAUGAUGAUCCCAUUUCACUAAAGGAGAGGUUCAUCCAUGCAAAGGGGGGCCAAUACACAUGUAGUAGAUAAACAAGGCAAGACUCCUCUCAUGCUUAAAUCAGAACCUAGCAGUGAAAUUGUUGGUCUGAUAUCAAGCAGAUGACAUGCUCACACACCCUCCUUUUCUUUUUGGGUCUGCUCCAACAAAAGCUUAAGCCACAACUAAGAUUGAGACAAAAAAAACAUUGAGGACCACACUGGGCAUGGAUUUUGAAUUAGGCAACAGAAAGCAACUAGCCCAAGAGGCCUUUUGGGUCACCUGUUCAUAGUUAUCUUCUUCUGUUGUAUAUAGCUAUAUAUAAUAUAAUAUAUAGUAUAAUCU